rnacentral:rRNA from 1 species
AAUCCGGUUGAUCCUGCCGGACCUGACUGCUAUCGGAUUGGUACUAAGCCAUGUGAGUCAUUGUAGCAAUACAAGGCAUACGGCUCAGUAGCACGUAGUCAAUCUAACCUAUGGACGUGGAUAACCUCGGGAAACUGAGAAUAAUCCGCGAUAGAUCAUAAUUCCUGGAAUGGUUUAUGGUCCAAAUGAUUCGUCGCCAUAGGAUGGGACUGCGGCCUAUCAGCUUGUUGGUGAGGUAAUGGCUCACCAAGGCUAUUACAGGUACGGGCUCUGAGAGGAGAAGCCCGGAGAUGGGUACUGAGACACGGACCCAGGCCCUAUGGGGCGCAGCAGGCGAGAAACCUUUGCAAUGUGCGCAAGCACGACAAGGUUAAUCCGAGUGUUUCCUGCUAAAGGAAUCUUUUGUUAGUUCUAAAACCACUGAUGAAUAAGAGGUGGGCAAGUUCUGGUGUCAGCCGCCGCGGUAAAACCAGCACCUCAAGUGGUCAGGAGGAUUAUUGGGCCUAAAGCAUCCGUAGCCGGUUCUGUAAGUUUUCGGUUAAAUCCACUAGCUUAACUAAUGGGCUGCCGAAAAUACUGCAGAACUAGGGAGUGGGAGAGGUAGACGGUACUCGGUAGGAAGGGGUAAAAUCCUUUGAUCUAUUGAUGACCACCUGUGGCGAAGGCGGUCUACCAGAACACGUUCGACGGUGAGGGAUGAAAGCUGGGGGAGCAAACCGGAUUAGAUACCCGGGUAGUCCCAGCUGUAAACGAUGCAGACUCGGUGAUGCACUGGCUUGUGGCCAGUGCAGUGCCGCAGGGAAGCCGUUAAGUUUGCCGCCUGGCAAGUACGUACGCAAGUAUGAAACUUAAAGGAAUUGGCGGGGGAGCACCACAAGGGGUGAAGCCUGCGGUUCAAUUGGAGUCAGCGCCAGAAAUCUUACCCGAAGAGACAGCAGAAUGAAGGUCAAGCCGGAGACUUUACCAGACAAGCUGAGAAGUGGUGCAUGGCCGUCGCCAGCUCGUGCCGUGAGAUGUCCUGUUAAGUCAGGUAACGAGCGAGACCCCUGCC